GAGAAGCAACUCAUGCUAAUCCCUGUAUAUUUAUAUAUAUAAUCAUAAAUAUACAGGGAUUAGCAUGAGUUGCUUCUC
rnacentral:pre_miRNA from 1 species